GGGGUGCUCGAGUGGCGAACGGGUGAGUAACACGUGAGUAACCUGCCCUUGACUUUGGGAUAACUUCAGGAAACUGGGGCUAAUACCGGAUAGGAGCUCCUGCUGCAUGGUGGGGGUUGGAAAGUUUCGGCGGUUGGGGACGGACUCGCGGCUUAUCAGCUUGUUGGUGGGGUAGUGGCUUACCAAGGCUUUGACGGGCAGCCGGCCUGAGAGGGUGACCGGCCACAUUGGGACUGAGAUACGGCCCAG
rnacentral:rRNA from 1 species